UACGUAGGGGCCAAGCGUUGUCCGGAUUUAUUGGGCGUAAAGAGCUCGUAGGCGGUUGGGUAAGUCGGGUGUGAAAACUCCAGGCUCAACUUGGAGAUGCCACCCGAUACUGCUCUGACUUGAGUUCGGUAGGGGAGUGGGGAAUUCCUGGUGUAGCGGUGAAAUGCGCAGAUAUCAGGAGGAACACCAACGGCGAAGGCAGCACUCUGGGCCGGAACUGACGCUGAGGAGCGAAAGCGUGGGUAGCGAACAGG
rnacentral:rRNA from 1 species